CCGUGUGAUGCAAUUUGUGUGUGUGGAUACAAGAUAAAUAUCUUUGGGUUUAUCGAAGAUUUGAUACUGAAAAUUCAUGACCGUGCUCAAUUGAGGUGAAAGUCAAUCGUUUGUUAUCUUUUAUACUAUAAAGCACAAGUCACCUGUCCAAUAAUAUUUAGCCACAUCAGAUUAUUUUCUUUUCAAAAAAAAAAAAAUACUACCCACGAUAUAAAAACUUAACUCACGAACAAUCUGAAAAAGAAAAAAAGUGAACUUCAACUCAUUUUUCGGAUCUGAAUAAUUAUUUUGGGCUAUAUUAUAAGCCCAAGCCCAUAACAUUUCUUUCCUAAAUUGUAGAACUAUUUUUU
rnacentral:lncRNA from 1 species